rnacentral:rRNA from 1 species
AUUGAACGCUGGCGGCAGGCCUAACACAUGCAAGUCGAGCGGAUGAAGGGAGCUUGCUCCUGGAUUCAGCGGCGGACGGGUGAGUAAUGCCUAGGAAUCUGCCUGGUAGUGGGGGAUAACGUCCGGAAACGGGCGCUAAUACCGCAUACGUCCUGAGGGAGAAAGUGGGGGAUCUUCGGACCUCACGCUAUCAGAUGAGCCUAGGUCGGAUUAGCUAGUUGGUGGGGUAAAGGCCUACCAAGGCGACGAUCCGUAACUGGUCUGAGAGGAUGAUAAGUCACACUGGAACUGAGACACGGUCCAGACUCCUAAGGGAGGCAGCAGUGGGGAAUAUUGGACAAUGGGCGAAAGCCUGAUCCAGCCAUGCCGCGUGUGUGAAGAAGGUCUUCGGAUUGUAAAGCACUUUAAGUUGGGAGGAAGGGCAGUAAGUUAAUACCUUGCUGUUUUGACGUUACCAACAGAAUAAGCACCGGCUAACUUCGUG